rnacentral:rRNA from 1 species
AAUUGCCAUCAUUCAGUUGGGCACUUUAAAGAGACUGCCGGUGUUAAAACCCGGAGGAAGGUGGGGAUGACGUCAAGUCCUCAUGGCCUUUAUGCCCAGGGCUACACACGUGCUACAAUGGGUGGUACAAAGAGAUGCAAUCUCGCAAGAGCAAGCAAACCUCAAAAAAGCCAUCCUCAGUUCGGAUUGGAGUCCGCAACUCGACUCCAUGAAGUCGGAAUCGCUAGUAAUCGCGGAUCAGCACGCCGCGGUCGAAUACGUUCCCGGGCCUU